AUCGUUCGCUAUCUUUUUUAUUAAGCUAACGAGAGGCAUCGUCAAUUUUCCUUUUGUUUCCUUUUUCUCUUUGGAUAAUCGCGUGCGACGUUUGUUACGCUGCGAUUCCACCGGUAAACAACGGAAGAAUUACCAUGUACCGUUUCUGCGAUAAUUAGUUGAUACGUAUUCGUGAGAUAGAAAUCCGGAAAUCCAAUAGCAACUAACGAUCAUUCGUGGAUUACGAUUGUAACGAUUUACGAUAAAAAUGUAUUACACGUGUUUCUAGUGUUGUAAGCAGCUUUGAAACGUGCAUCGAUAAUAUCGCUGAUCGCUUCAAAUGGGACGUCAAGUACUAAAACAGUGGCGACCUAUCGCUUUAAAUUCAAUGGUGUGACAUAAAAAUAAUUUCCUCCUCGAUUGAAUGAGAUCGACGCGAACGAGACGCGAAAGGAAAGCGAAUUAAAUAAAUAAGUAGGUCGUAAAUUCUCGGAAGCGUUAUGCAUCCGAGGCACCGGCAGAUUUCGCUAAAUCAAGCGCAAUUACCGAUCCGUCGUCUCGUCUGAACCUGCAAUUCCCCCAUUGCCCUUACCUUCGCAACGAUUCCAGUUCCUACCCUGGAAUCACUCAAUCCCCGUUUACCUCUCCCGUUCGCGCAAUGUUUGCGCGCAGUCAUGGCACCAGCAAAGUGGCCCUAUCAAUAUUAAUCGCAAUAUUUGCCUGGCAUGCUCUUCGUCGCACUCUCUAUUACCAAUUAAUCCGGUCGUGCGAAGUAUGCUGCGAACGAGCAGAUAGGCCAUAACGCGCGAGAUGAAGCGAGGGAACGAGAGAGCAAGAGUGACCAGGGGACAAAUAAAAAUGAUGGAAGAAGAAAGACGGACAGAGAGGAAGAGAAAGAACGGGUGAGACAGUGAGACGGUGAAGGGGAAAGCGAGAGAGGCCAAAGAGAAAGAGAGAGAAACGACUCGUUGACGGGUUAGAUAUUGUGUCAGCCGAGUCGUCCAGCAUUAAAAGUAAUUACGACGUGAUUGACCGAGGGCCCGUUGGCCGAGGGUGAGGCGACGCCGAGGGGAAGGCUAAAUCAUCGGAGUGACGCACGUAGCUCGUUGUUGCCUCCCAAUUAUACAAUCAGCGAGACCAAGCAGAGGAGAAGCGAGAGGGAAAAACCGAAAGAUAGACGAAGAGUGGGAAGGCCAACCCGUGCAGCAGAAGAAAGAAGCAAAGAAUAUACUUGGAUCUUGUAUCUCGUGACGGACGAAAGACGAGAAGAGACGGUGGCGGAAUUACGUCAGGAACGUAGUGGGGCAGCCGUGGUCGUUCGAGUCGGCGAAGAUCGGUGCCAUCGCAACGAUAAUUGCCAACCGGAACCACCAGCACGACCGGGGAUGCAUCGAGACUCUCCAACAUCGACUUUUCACAGCUACUUUCAAGGACAACGUUUUGUACUCGUGAACGUUACACAUUCGACGGAAGGUGUUUGAAUCCGCCCCUGUGCGAGACGAGAAGAAGAGGAAGACGGACGAAGGAAGAUGGACCGAUCGCGAUCGUUAUCGUCUAUUAUAAAGUCGAGUAAGUUGGCCUGUGAUGCAGCUGCCGUUUUGUACGGCGAUGACGACGGUGGUUUAUAAGUCGUGAUCUAGAAACAAAUGAGCCAUUGUGGAGGACAAUCGUUCCGUUAAGGACGGGAGGAGGGCCAAAUAGGCGUGAAGAAUCGAACGACCGAGCUGGCAAGAAGAAGUAAUCGAUUUCGAGAUGGUUUCCGUCGUACUGCGACGACGUCUAAUCCAACCAUUGCAAAAGGAAAACACAUUUCGCGCUCGAACACCUCCCAAGUGCUACGCGCUACCAUUCUUCGUUCGUUUAACGUUUGUUCCUCUCCGUGAAUCAACGUGCGAGCUUUAUUUAAACGUUUCUAUUCUUACGUUUCUUUUCGACAAAAUUGAUCCCGUGAUAUUGAAAUAACAAAGAUACAAACUCGGUCGAAAGUAUUAAAACUGUUCGGUUGGAUAUAAAAACUUAGUCGAAGAAUGCUAAGAACAACGAAACGAAACCGAACGAUACCACACCUCUACUCAAUUAGGUUGAGUAUUUAACAGGUUUCCCGCGCGACCAUACGACGAACGAUGGAACACACAGAGAAGCGAGGAGAAGGAACUGAGUGCAGAACGAUCCAGAGCAACGGAACCAGUAGAAAUCUCUCGCUACCUUUUCCAGACCUCCAGCGGCGCGGCGAUCGAAAACGAUAGAAUAGAGCAAGGAACCGUACGACGUUUCGCGGAACACAACGGCUCGUAAGCGGCCGUCGUGCAGGCGUUAAAGAUCUGAUGCCCACUAAUGACGAAGUCUUGUGUUCACGUGUUGACACUAACUGAUCACGAAAAGGAGGACGAAGAAGUGUCAAUGAUUGCUUCGCUGUGUCAUCCUGUCCGUUUGAUAAAUGGUCAGAACUCUAAUAAUAUAAUACAUAUUUCAGUACGGAGCAUGUGUUUGGUAUUUUUUCAAAUUCCACCGAUUGAAUAUCCUUUUCGCGGCCAUUAUCACCAUCCAUUUCUUGGCCAUAAUAAAUCGUACAGAAUACGUUCAUUACGACUGCUAUCGCGCAGGUAUCGCUGGUAGAUCUCCAAGAUUCUAAUUCAAUUAGAUUCGGGUUUUACAUUCGAUUCACCAUCUCACGUUUUCUUAUCAGAUUCUUCCUGAAUAAAAAUGUCAUAGUUGCGGACCCAUUUCGUCUCGUUAUUGAUUUAAAAAUACAAAAGUUCUAGAGAAAAUUAACGUUACCGACAAAACGAUCAGAGACUUAUCGAUGAUUCGCGAAUCCCGUCUAAAGAGCUUCUCUCGAUUUUUCAUUUCUUGUAAAAGAUAUAAAUAUAAGAGUACGUAAUAAGAAGACGAAAGAGGCAACGAGCUAAUAAAACGCACUAUUAGGUUGGCAAUAUCGGAGAGAAUAGGGUACCGAGAAAUCAAGCGUCCGGUAGAAGAAUCUCCGGACGGAUCCGAACAAGGGCUGGUCGUGCAGGCGUUAAGGAUCCGAUGACGCUAAUGACGAGGCCAUGUGUCCGCAUAUUGACGCUAACUGGACUGACCGCGAAGAAGGAAAGCAAGAAGGAUACGAAAGAAGAAGCAGAAGAAGAGAAGAAAGAUAAAAGGGGAAGAGGUGGCGAUGGUUUGCAGUACCACGAGUAGAGUAGAAGACCGGUGUGCACGGAGGUAACGGAGGUAACAAACGUCUCCUCGAGGCCUCGAGUGUGGUAGAAAGGCGGAGGAGGGAGGGCCGCGGCAAAGGGUUCUUCCGAGGGUUAGUCCGCAGAGGUGAGAGGCAGAUCGUCUCGCGAGAAGGACCGCGCUCGAGGGAGAAGGAAGAUGAGAAAGCCCCAGGCUCGAGCCCAGCACCUCAUUACCCGAUAAUUUACUACGCGAGUAAUUAACUGGGCACACAAACGGUGCCACGUUAUAUACACCCUGCGCGCAUAUAUACGCCUCGACGACUCUUCCCUGGCUCUUUUCGAUUCUCCAGGCUCAUAUAUUACCGGUGCCGCGUCCUCUUGCCGAUCUAUUUAUCCAUUCGUUUGUAAGCGAUGAACCUUCGACGUGCGAGUGCACGUAGGUAUUUCCAAAGACCAGUCUGACAAUAAUCGCUUAAACGAUAGAAAAUGAGACGGCGGAGACG